rnacentral:rRNA from 1 species
CCAACUUUGCGGCGUUGCCUUAUACAUGCAAGUCGAACGAACUCUGGUAUUGAUUGGUGCUUGCAUCAUGAUUUACAUUUGAGUGAGUGGCGAACUGGUGAGUAACACGUGGGAAACCUGCCCAGAAGCGGGGGAUAACACCUGGAAACAGAUGCUAAUACCGCAUAACAACUUGGACCGCAUGGUCCGAGUUUGAAAGAUGGCUUCGGCUAUCACUUUUGGAUGGUCCCGCGGCGUAUUAGCUAGAUGGUGGGGUAACGGCUCACCAUGGCAAUGAUACGUAGCCGACCUGAGAGGGUAAUCGGCCACAUUGGGACUGAGACACGGCCCAAACUCCUACGGGAGGCAGCAGUAGGGAAUCUUCCACAAUGGACGAAAGUCUGAUGGAGCAACGCCGCGUGAGUGAAGAAGGGUUUCGGCUCGUAAAACUCUGUUGUUAAAGAAGAACAUAUCUGAGAGUAACUGUUCAGGUAUUGACGGUAUUUAACCAGAAAGCCACGGCUAACUACGUGCCAGCAGCCGCGGUAAUACGUAGGUGGCAAGCGUUGUCCGGAUUUAUUGGGCGUAAAGCGAGCGCAGGCGGUUUUUUAAGUCUGAUGUGAAAGCCUUCGGCUCAACCGAAGAAGUGCAUCGGAAACUGGGAAACUUGAGUGCAGAAGAGGACAGUGGAACUCCAUGUGUAGCGGUGAAAUGCGUAGAUAUAUGGAAGAACACCAGUGGCGAAGGCGGCUGUCUGGUCUGUAACUGACGCUGAGGCUCGAAAGUAUGGGUAGCAAACAGGAUUAGAUACCCUGGUAGUCCAUACCGUAAACGAUGAAUGCUAAGUGUUGGAGGGUUUCCGCCCUUCAGUGCUGCAGCUAACGCAUUAAGCAUUCCGCCUGGGGAGUACGGCCGCAAGGCUGAAACUCAAAGGAAUUGACGGGGGCCCGCACAAGCGGUGGAGCAUGUGGUUUAAUUCGAAGCUACGCGAAGAACCUUACCAGGUCUUGACAUACUAUGCAAAUCUAAGAGAUUAGACGUUCCCUUCGGGGACAUGGAUACAGGUGGUGCAUGGUUGUCGUCAGCUCGUGUCGUGAGAUGUUGGGUUAAGUCCCGCAACGAGCGCAACCCUUAUUAUCAGUUGCCAGCAUUAAGUUGGGCACUCUGGUGAGACUGCCGGUGACAAACCGGAGGAAGGUGGGGAUGACGUCAAAUCAUCAUGCCCCUUAUGACCUGGGCUACACACGUGCUACAAUGGAUGGUACAACGAGUUGCGAACUCGCGAGAGUAAGCUAAUCUCUUAAAGCCAUUCUCAGUUCGGAUUGUAGGCUGCAACUCGCCUACAUGAAGUCGGAAUCGCUAGUAAUCGCGGAUCAGCAUGCCGCGGUGAAUACGUUCCCGGGCCUUGUACACACCGCCCGUCACACCAUGAGAGUUUGUAACACCCAAAGUCGGUGGGGUAACCUUUUAGGAACCAGCCGCCUAAGGUGGACAAGGUUGU